rnacentral:rRNA from 1 species
UACGUAGGGCGCGAGCGUUGUCCGGAAUCAUUGGGCGUAAAGAGCGUGUAGGCGGUCCGGUAAGUCGGCUGUGAAAGUCCAGGGCUCAACCCUGGGAUGCCGGUCGAUACUGCCGGACUAGAGUUCGGAAGAGGCGAGUGGAAUUCCCGGUGUAGCGGUGAAAUGCGCAGAUAUCGGGAGGAACACCUAUGGCGAAGGCAGCUCGCUGGGACGUUACUGACGCUGAGACGCGAAAGCGUGGGGGAGCAAACAGG